rnacentral:lncRNA from 1 species
GUUGUGAUUAUUCAAAAUGUAGUUAGGCUAAAAGGAUUUUGAUAUUAAUUUCUACAUUGGUAAAUUGUGGAAAAUUAUAAAAGAGGCACUAGCUACGAGAUACAUAUAUAUGAAUAUGAUUUUGUUUGUUUCAAUCAAUAUUCAUGUGACCUUCAAUUUAGAGAUUGGUUGCGCAUGAAUUAAUUGUUUAAGGCCAUUAAAAGGAAAAGAAUGUCAACAUUUAAAGUGAAACAAAAGUAAACCAUUUUGUUGACUGACGUGAUCCAUUAAAAAUAAAUCUUAUACAGGUAAAAACAAUAAUAUUUUUUUUUAACCUAUAACAUGAAAUCAAACAUACCUUAAAAAAUCCAAUUGCACGAGGUCACCAUCUAUUUAUAGUUAUGUUUUAUGUUUAUAUGUUUAUAUCAGGUUAUGUGACUAUCAGCAGUCUGCAGAGGUCAUCCUGAUAGUAAAUAAGAUGGUGUCUAGACUAGAAUACACAUAAAAUUCUCAUAUACUUCAAUGAGUAUAUUCAUUGUUAAUUGUUUAUAUCAGACUAAUUGUAAAUUGGAUAUACCGUAUAUCCAUUUUUUUUUUCUGUAUAAGCAAUUGGCAAGUUAAAUUUUUGCUGUGUACCGGUAUAAUUUUCGCUAAAUGGGAAAAUACAAGUGAAAAAAAAACAACCCUGUAUUGUAUUGUUAAAGACGUAAAGUAAAACAUAAAUGUAAAUGACUGACAGAUAAUUGAUUACAAAUCAUGUAUGUACUACAAACUAAAAUACACAUAUUCAGAGAUCCUACAAUAUUGUACAAUAAAGUCCCAAUACUCCAAAAC